CCGAGUUACAACUCCCAAACCCCUGUGAACAUACCUAUAUGUUGCCUCGGCGGAUCAGCCCGCGCCCCGUAAAACGGGACGGCCCGCCGCAGGAUCCACAAACUCUGUUUUUAUUGUAACUUCUGAGUAACAAAACAAAUAAAUC
rnacentral:misc_RNA from 1 species